rnacentral:rRNA from 1 species
UACGAAGGAUCCAAGCGUUAUCCGGAUUUAUUGGGUUUAAAGGGUGCGUAGGCGGUUCUAUAAGUCAGUGGUGAAAUCCGGCAGCUCAACUGUCGAUGUGCCAUUGAUACUGCAGAACUUGAGUACAGACGAGGUAGGCGGAAUUGACGGUGUAGCGGUGAAAUGCUUAGAUAUCGUCAAGAACACCGAUAGCGAAGGCAGCUUACUAGACUGUAACUGACGCUGAUGCACGAAAGUGCGGGGAUCAAACAGG